rnacentral:SRP_RNA from 1 species
GCUGGGCGUGGUGGUGCACACCUGUAAUCCCAGCUACUCAGGAGGCUGAGGCAGGAGAAUCGCUUGAACCCAGGAGAUGGAGGUUGCAGUGAGCCAAAAUCAUGCCACUGCACUCCAGCCUGGGUGACAGAGUGAGACCCCGUCUUAA